rnacentral:rRNA from 1 species
AUUUGACUGAGCGGCGGACGGGUGAGUAACGCGUGGGUAACCUGCCUCAUACAGGGGAAUAACAGUUAGAAAUGGCUGCUAAUGCCGCAUAAGCGCACAGGACCGCAUGGUCUGGUGUGAAAAACUGAGGUGGUAUGAGAUGGGCCCGCGUCUGAUUAGGUAGUUGGCGGGGUAACGGCCCACCAAGCCGACGAUCAGUAGCCGACCUGAGAGGGUGACCGGCCACAUUGGGACUGAGACGCGGCCCAGACUCCUACGGGAGGCAGCAGUGGGGAAUAUUGCACAAUGGAGGAAACUCUGAUGCAGCGACGCCGCGUGAAGGAAGAAGUAUCUCGGUAUGUAAACUUCUAUCAGCAGGGAAGAAAAUGACGGUACCUGACUAAGAAGCCCCGGCUAACUACGUGCCAGCAGCCGCGGUAAUACGUAGGGGGCAAGCGUUAUCCGGAUUUACUGGGUGUAAAGGGAGCGUAGACGGACGGGCAAGUCUGAUGUGAAAGCCCGGGGCUUAACCCCGGGACUGCAUUGGAAACUGUCCAUCUUGAGUGCCGGAGAGGUAAGCGGAAUUCCUAGUGUAGCGGUGAAAUGCGUAGAUAUUAGGAGGAACACCAGUGGCGAAGGCGGCUUACUGGACGGUAACUGACGUUGAG